rnacentral:tRNA from 1 species
GCCCCCAUCGUCUAGUGGCCUAGGACAGCGCCCUUUCACGGCGUCAACAGGGAUUCGAAUUCCCUUGGGGGCA